rnacentral:rRNA from 1 species
CCCUUAGAUGUCCGGGGCCGCACGCGCGCUACACUGAAGGAAUCAGCGUGGCUUUCUCCCUGACCCGAAAGGGUUGGGAAACCCGUUGAAUCUCCUUCGUGAUAGGGAUUGGGGCUUGAAAUUGUUCCCCAUGAACGAGGAAUUCCCAGUAAGCGCGAGUCAUAAGCUCGCGUUGAUUACGUCCCUGCCCUUUGUACACACCGCCCGUCGCUCCUACCGAUUGGAUGAUCCGGUGAAUUCUCAGGAUCGUUGUCUUGGUGCUGUUUCAGCAUCCAGGAUAUGCGAGAAUUUGUGUAAACCUUAUCAUCUAGAGGAAGGAGAAGUCGUAACA